CCAGCUCCAAUAGCGUAUAUUAAAGUUGUUGCAGUUAAAAAGCUCGUAGUUGGACUUCUGAUGUGAAAGAUCGGUCCACCGCAAGGUGAGCACUGAUUCUUCGCGUCUUCCUCUCGUAGUUGUUUCGCGCACUUAGUUGGGUGCGAGAUGAAUAUGGGACCUUUACUUUGAAAAAAUUAGAGUGUUCAAAGCAGGCAAUCGCUUGAAUACAUUAGCAUGGAAUAAUAGAAUAGGACUUUGGUUCUAUUUUGUUGGUUUCUAGGACCGAGGUAAUGAUUAAUAGGGACAGUUGGGGGCAUUAGUAUUUAAUUGUCAGAGGUGAAAUUCUUGGAUUUAUGAAAGACUAACUACUGCGAAAGCAUUUGCCAAGGAUGUUUUCAUUA
rnacentral:rRNA from 1 species